rnacentral:rRNA from 1 species
GUGGGGAAUCUUGCGCAAUGGGCGAAAGCCUGACGCAGCCAUGCCGCGUGAAUGAUGAAGGUCUUAGGAUUGUAAAAUUCUUUCACCGGGGACGAUAAUGACGGUACCCGGAGAAGAAGCCCCGGCUAACUUCGUGCCAGCAGCCGCGGUAAUACGAAGGGGGCUAGCGUUGCUCGGAAUUACUGGGCGUAAAGGGCGCGUAGGCGGACAGUUUAGUCAGAGGUGAAAGCCCAGGGCUCAACCUUGGAAUUGCCUUUGAUACUGGCGAUCUUGAGUAUGGAAGAGGUAUGUGGAACUCCGAGUGUAGAGGUGAAAUUCGUAGAUAUUCGGAAGAACACCAGUGGCGAAGGCGACAUACUGGUCCAUUACUGACGCUGAGGCUCGAAAGCGUGGGGAGCAAACAGGAUUAGAUACCCGUGUAGUCC